rnacentral:tRNA from 1 species
GAGCUCGUGGUUCAAUGGUUAGAGCGUUUGACUUCUAAUCAACAGGCCGCUAGUUCG